rnacentral:rRNA from 1 species
UGGCUCAGAACGAACACUGGCGGCAGGCCUAACACAUGCAAGUCGAACGCUGUAGCAAUACAGAGUGGCAGACGGGUGAGUAACACGUGGGAAUCUUCCUAUCGGUACGGAAUAGCUCAGGGAAACUUGGGGUAAUACCGCAUACGCCCUUCGGGGGAAAGAUUUAUCGCCGAUAGGUGAGCCCGCGUCUGAUUAGCUAGUUGUUGAGGUAAUGGCUCACAAGGCGACGAUCAGUAGCUGGUCUGAGAGGAUGACCAGCCACACUGGGACUGAGACACGGCCCAGACUCCUACGGGAGGCAGCAGUGGGGAAUAUUGGACAAUGGGCGCCAGCCUGAUCCAGCCAUGCCGCGUGAGUGACGAAGUCUUCGGAUUGUAAAGCUCUUUUGGCGGGGACGAUAAUGACGGUACCCGCAGAAUAAGCCCCGGCUAACUUCGUGCCAGAAGCCGCGGUAAUACGAAGGGGGCAAGCGUUGUUCGGAAUUACUGGGCGUAAAGCGCACGUAGACGGAUUUGUAAGUCAGG